UACGUAGGGUGCAAGCGUUAAUCGGAAUUACUGGGCGUAAAGCGCGCGCAGGCGGCGAUUUAAGUCAGAUGUGAAAUCCCCGGGCUCAACCUGGGAACUGCAUUUGUGACUGCAUGGCUAGAGUACGGUAGAGGGGGAUGGAAUUCCGCGUGUAGCGGUGAAUGCGUAGAUAUGCGGAGGAACACCGAUGGCGAAGGCAAUCCCCUGGACCUGUACUGACGCUCAUGCACGAAAGCGUGGGGAGCAAACAGG
rnacentral:rRNA from 1 species